rnacentral:rRNA from 1 species
GACGAGGGGUCCUAGCGUUGUUCGGAAUCAUUGGGCGUAAAGCGUGUGUAGGUGGCUAUUCAAGUCAGUUGUGAAAUCCCCGGGCUUAACCCGGGAAGUGCUUCUGAUACUGUUUAGCUUGAGUACUAGAGAGGAUAGUAGAAUUCCAGGUGUAGUGGUGAAAUACGUAGAUAUCUGGAGGAAUACCGGUGGCGAAGGCGGCUAUCUGGCUAAGUACUGACACUGAAACACGAAAGCGUGGGGAGCAAACAGG